rnacentral:rRNA from 1 species
AUGGCUGACCCGAGACCGUUCACCAACGUCGAUCCUGCGACGGCGGCCGCAUUGCGGCGCCAUGGCUGUGACCCGCACGAGCUGGACCAAUUCAUGGAGCACGUGCUAUCGUACAUCUACACCCUCGUCCCCCGCCCGCCGUUCGCCAACAACGGUCGGCUCACGGCCCUCGCCGCCUCCACCGACGGCGUCGACCGCAUCAGCAGCCUCCCCGACGAGCUCCUGCGCAACAUCGUCGCUCGCCUCCCCGUCAAGGACGCCGCGCGCACCGCCGUGCUCUCCACCUGCUGGCGCACGCUCUGGCGCUCCACGCCCCUCGUCCUCAGCGACGCCCACCUCCUCCCCGACGGCCACGUCUGGCCUCCUACGCGCGCCAACUCGCCGGCCGUCACCGCGGUCGUGUCCCGCAUCCUCGAAGCGCAUCCGGGCCCCUUCCGCUGCGUCGACCUUGUCUGCAGCCACAUGAAUGGCUACCUUGUCCAGCUUGCGCGGUGGAUCCAGCUCCUCGCCGCCAAGGGCGUCCAAGAUCUCGUCCUCGUCAAUCGACCGUGGCCGCAAGACAUGCCCCUCCCCCCCACUCUCUUCAGCGUCAGCACCCUCACCAGCCUCUACAUCGGCUUCUGGAAAUUACCGAGCACGGACGUCCUGCGCCGUGCCUCCUUUCCCCACCUUGUCGAGCUCGGCAUAUGCAGCGUUGAAAUGGAGCACGGCGCCAUCGAGUCCCUCGUCGCCAGGAGCCAUGUCCUGGAGAUCCUCAACAUCGAGGGAUGCCGCAGGGAGCUGCGUCUACGCCUCGUCAGCCAGAGCCUACGCUGCGUGCAAAUCUGCAGCUCGGUUAUGGAGAGCAUCACCAUGCUAAAGGCUCCAUGCCUCGAGCGGCUUAUCCUCUCUGGCAGAGUCGGUCAUGGUGCCUUCAGAGUCAGGAUUGUUGAUGCCCCCAAGCUGCACACAUUUGGAUUCUUAGAGCCAGGACAGGUCCUAGAGGUUGGGAAAACGGUCAUCACGCCCGGGAUAAAGGCAAGCACAAGUACCAUGCUCACAACCGUGAAAAUUCUGAGCUUGAAUGUGCGUUUUGGGGUUCGCAGUGACGUCUAG